CAUCACGGGUCGCUUCCAGCAGCCAGAAGGACUUCAUUUAACAACGCAAAGUACAGGUUGUCCCGCCACAGAUUGUCUCAGCACUGGGAAGAUUCUGCUCCGUUUUCUCCCGUUCUGCAUGGAUUCUGUCUCGAAGGAAGCCGUCUUUCCAAUCGUCCCUCUGGGAUAGCAUAUGAAAAAUAGUGUUUUAUUUUCCAAAUCUCCGUGGAUUGUGUGGACAACGCAGGCAACAUUUAAGUCAUCAUUUUCAGCACUGGGAAGAUUCUGCUCCGUUUUCUCCUGUUCUGCAUGGAUUCUGUCCAGAAGGAAGCCGUCUUUCCAAUCGUCCCUCUGGGAUAGGAGCCUUUUGGUUGUGACAGCUACAUUUAGAUCUGUGAUCCACCUGAGUUCCGUUUUCUGUGUGAAGUGAGGUCAUAAGGAACUUCGUGGGUGUGAGUCUGAAUCCCUUCUGCUCAAAACACGCGAUGAACUCUCCUGUAUGCCUGCUUCGUGCCUCUCAGCUUGGUGACAGUGAUGUUGCCAGGUAUACACUGCGUCGGAUUGUUCUUCCCAAGAUUCAUUCACACUGUCUCCAAAUCCUUCACGGCCUGCUAAGCGACAGCUACAACUCGCCGUGGACCCGCGUACUUCACCAAACCCGCGGAGAAUGGCUGAUCUGUCAUUUCACGCACUGGGAAGAUUCUGCUCCGUUUUCUCCCGUUCUGCAUGGAUUCUGUCUCGAAGGAAGCCGUCUUUCCAAUCGUCCCUCUGGGAUAGGUGGUGAACACAAAGGGAGAUUCAACCCGUACUAGGAAUCUUCACAACCCCUUUGCAUUCACCGCCCUCAGCACCUGCUGAGCAGUGGCCACAGCUGGCCGGCGUUCAUGUGCUUCAUCAGACCUAAGAAGGACGGGCAGUCUCCAGAGUCAUUGUAAUGCUGAUUCCAGUUUUCCUCAUAGGUCAUGAGGAACUUCGUGGGUGUGAGUCUGAAUCCCUUCUGCUCAAAACACGCGAUGAACUCUCCUGUAUGCCUGCUUCGUGCCUCUCAGCUUGGUGACAGUGAUGGUGCCAGGUAUACACUGCGUUGGAUUGUUCUUCCCAAGAUUCAUUCACACUGUCUCCAAAUCCUUCACGGCCUGCUCAGCGACAGCUACAACUCGCCGUGGACCCGCGUACUUCACCAAACCCGCAGAGAAUGGCUGAUCUGUCAUUUCAUGGUAUUGCUGCUCCUAGUAAUCGUCCGGCAGAGAUUAGGUUCAAGAAGCUGCUUUAUCACUCUAAAGUAACUUCAAAAUGACUAUUUAAUUUGGUCCUCACAAUGUCCCUGGUGUGUAAAGUGGGUAGAAAUGGGAAACAGGAGAAACGUAGGGCCAAAUAUUUAAGCAGAGAAGAUCUGUUACUACCGAUGUGUUCCGUAGGUUGAGUUGCUUUUUUUUUUUUUUUUCCAGAAGGAAUUUAGGUGAGACAAAAUGAACUGGUCUAGCAGUCUAACAUUCACAGUGCUGGUACUUCAGUGAUUCCUCACAUUACUGGAAGGACGUCAUAGUAACAGAGGUGAUUCCCUUCCUGCUUCGGGGGUUUCCCCAGUGCCUGAGUGAAAAUUAUACUCAGGAAACUCCAACUCUUCUUCUCAUGGUGCUUGAUGUGCUGUCCUCUGUCAUCCCAUUCCCUGCCCCUUUGCUGGAUGCCACUUAAAAGGUCAGUCUAUUGGAUUGGUUUCCAUAUGAAUGACUUGUUCCGUGUUCACUUUCCUCGGGUCCACUUACGGUCAUAUAUGCAGCAUAUGAUGCAGGCUGUGAACACUUACCCAGCACAAUAUUUUCUGUGUGAGGAAAUAAAUGGUGCCAUAUUAUGUAUACCAGGCAAUAAUUUCACUAGAACCACAUGCCAUAUGUUGGCUUCCUUCAAUUUCUGCUGAACUAGGUGAACAUUGGUACUGAGUUUUGUUCUGUUUUUUCCCUCACCUCCCUGAGGUAAAACAGUUGGUCUUGUUAUAUCUGCUAUAGAGAUUGAAUUAGGGCCUAAAAAUUAUAUGCCCAUGAGAGAGACAGAUUGACCUCCACCACUACUGAUUUAGAAACUACCAUGCAUGCUGCCAUGGCAUGGUGACUCCCCACAGGAGUGAUGCAGGUACAUUGCUUAAAAAUAACAUGGAAAAGUACCAAAGAUUGCAGCAUUUUUUCACCACACUACAGGGCCGCAUAAGAAAGCCUUGUUUAGCAGUUAAAGGUAUGGGGGAUUCAGUGAUUGUUCACAUUACUGAAAGAAUUUCGUUAUCAAGGAGAUGAUUAAAUUCCUCUUAAAACUCUUCAUUUCUACAUUUUAAAUUUUCAUUAAACCAGCAGCAUGAGGAAAAUUAUAGGCUCUGCUGAACAUUCAUUACAUGAAUCUCACAGAGAAUGACAUCCUUGUCAUCUACAAUCAAAGGGGGUUGUUGCAUUUGCCAAAAAGUGCAGUGGUAUACGAACCUAUGUCUAGUGCAUACCACAACAUAUGAUGACGGGGAUGCUCCAGGUUUCCUAUGUCAGCCACUGAUUUCUAAGUUGUACACUGUCUCAUUGUUUAUUGACAGGGCCACGCAGGCACUAUUAGAAGUUUUCUACCACAAGUCUAUCUAGUGCACAGGCAAGAAAAGACCAUCUUUCCCUUGGAGCAGUGCUCAGGUUAAUAACUGGUCAUGUGUGCAUCUCGGUCAGAGAUUCUACACAUCAUCCUGCCUCAUGGCAUGUGGGCUUUAAACACACAGCGACCAGUUUAUUUCCUGGAGAUCCCAGGGGAAUGAAGGUUCUAAUGCUAUGAUGGCCAGAUGGAAAUGGUUGCCCAUGAGGCUAAUUGUCACCUCCUCACACAACAUCCUGAAGCCUCUUGUGUGUUCCCUUUGCAUCAUGCCGCUUUGAUGGUGGCCAGCAAGCGUGCCUAAUGAUCCCAGGAGUGCCAUGCCAGUAGAACUUUUCCCUAUGGGUGUACCUACUCCUCAGAACAGGCCAGACCACCUUGAUCACCACUGCACAGUACUGCAUAUUCAGGGUUUCCUUGGUUCCUGGCAUUGGUGGAUGAAGGUCUGGGCAAAGGGACUGAAUCCCUCCCUCUUGGGUCCAUGAUUCCUGCUCCAAAAGGACAGAGGGCAAUGGAGAUACUGGUCUUAUUAUUUCCGGAACCAGAUUGCAAAAGGUUAUUUUAGAUAGCAAGCAGGUUCAUUGCAGCAAUUGUACAACAAGCUUCACCCACAAGAGACAGGUCUGUCAACAAAGACAGGGCCAGUCAUGAACACACAGGUUAUUGAUGAGGGCAGAAUGAUUCACAGAGUAAAUGCCCCUCUGAGGAUGAAGUUACAGAUAUCUUCCCGAAUGUGCUGUAGGAUAUGAAAGGAGAACCAUGUGAAGGUGCCCUGGGGGUGAACGUGAUGGUCAAAAAGAUACAAUGGUUUGUACUGGAUUUCCGAAACAUGACUCCCAUCACUCAUGGCCUUCCGUUUCUCAUGGGCUCUUGUCCCCUAAGGAGCUGGUUACAGUCGAUGUCCUGUAUGAAGACAAGUGGUGGCACACUCCCAAGUAUUUCUGUUGCUGAAGGGUGUUGCCAGUAAUGGAAGAAAAGUCAUGCCCUUAGUCUUCGUCCUGUUGUCCUUCAGCGAGUGGAUAGGCUCUUGCUUCUGUCCCGACCGGCUGUCCCUAUGGUGAUUAUUCUUAGAUUGCUGGGUUCGGAUUGCCCCUGGUUGUCUCCUCCUCCACGAAAGGUCCUAUGUCACUCCUCUCAAGGCUCAUAGCCGGGUACUGAUAGCAAGUGCACGCUCCUGGCAAAGCACGUCUGCCAAGAUAUUCCCUAUUCCCUAUGUGAGAAGAGGAUUCGCCCUCCCUUGAAGGCAAAGUCAGUUUUAUCCCAGAGUCGGUUCCCCCGCUUUGACUGCUUCUUGUUUCUGCGGGACAUGUCCAUUGUGGGCAGGGAUCGCAUUUCCGUCAGCUCCCACGACAAAAGCUGGCCAUUCCCGUGAACUCUGACCUGUUCCCCUGGCUCCAAGGCCUGUCUCAAAGACGUUCUACCCUGGAUUCUGACUGUCUCCUGUUCUGUACUGCUUCAGGAACGCUCACGUAUGUUCCCAUUGUGAGACAUUAUCCUCCAAGGUAAUGAAAUUACUUUAAGUACAAUCCUUCGCAGAUAUUUCAUCCAUAGGUCUCAUCACCACUGUCACACCUCUUGGCAGGGUAGUCAAGCCUGUCUUCUCCGUAAGAUGACUACAUGCCUGCUCCUUGACAACUAGCUUUUCUCUCAGAAGUGGGAGAACUGUGAUCCAUAGUGGUGGCGGGACUUGCUUGCCUUACCCUCAAAGUGCUUCAUUUGCACUCGUGUUCCAAUCCCGGGGUUUGCCACAUCUAUGUUAGAAAUGAGGGUGUCUGAACCAGAUCCGUUGUGUGGGUCUUCCGGAGAAUUACGUGUCAUGUGUUUCUAACUUAAGUCUGGUACUUGCACUGCUCUCUGAUGCUGUCUGUAGGGUCCGAAAGCGAGCUUAUACCCAGCCAGAAGUCCUGGGUCCUCUCGUCCAGCAGUAUGAUGACUGGUAAUCAAGUGCCUGUUGGGAGACCGAGGACGUGAGGGCUGUGGAGUUGUUCGAAUCAGCAUGUCAGGGCUCGGUGUUGGAGAAUUUUUUAAUUAUCGACGGCAUGCACCCUGCAGCCAUAGUACAGAAAGUUUUGGGUGUCUUGGACUGAGCUUCCCGUGCAUGAGCCCGGCCUGUCCACAAAGAUGUGUUCAUUCAUGAAUACACAGGGUGUUGCUUCACAGCAGUAUGGUUCACAGAGUAAAUGCUCCUUCAUGGACCAAGUUUUAGAAAUGUUCCAGAAGGUGCUGUGGGGUAUGAAAGGAGAACCGCAUGGAGGUACCCUGGGGGGUGAACGUGAUGGUCAAGAAGGUAGAAUGCUUUAUACUGGUUUUGCAAAACAUGACUCCCAUCAUUCAUGGCCUUCAGUUUCUCAGGUGCUCUUCUCCCCUCAGUCGUUGGCUACAUUUGAUGUCCUGUAUGUAGACAGGUGGUGGCACUUUUCCAAGUAUUUCUGUUGCUGAAGGGUGUUGCCAGUAAUGGAAGAAAUGCCAUACACUUUGUCUUCGUCAUGUUGUCCUUCAGCGAGUGGAUAGCCUCUCGCUUCUGUCCCCACCUGCUUAAACCCAGCAUUCUCAGAAUCAUUACCAUAGGGACAGCCAGUGGGGACAAUACUCUUAGAAUGCUGGGUUAGGACUCCCCCUUGUUGUCUCCUCCUCUAGGACAGGUCCUAUUUCAAUCCUCUCAAGGCUCAUAGCCGGGUACUCAUAGCAUGUGCACCCUGCUGGGAAAGCACCUCUGCCAAGAUAUUCCCUAUUCCCUAUGUGAGAAGAGGAUUCGCCCUCCCUUGAAGGCAAAGGCACUUUUAUCCCAGAGAGCUGGUUGCCCCGUUUUGACUGCUUCUUGUUUCUGCGGGACGUGUCCAUUGCGGGCAGCAAUCGCAAUUCUGUGAGCUCCCGCGAGGAAAGCUGGCCAUUCCCGUGAACUCUGACCUGUUCCCCUGGCUCCGAGGCCUGUCUCAAAGACGUUCACCCCCAGAGUCUGACUAUCUUCUAUUCUGUACUGCUUCGGGAACGUCCACGUAUUUUCCCAGUGUGACGUUUUUUCAGGGCUCCGUGUCAGAGAAUUUAUUAGUUAUCAGCAGCAUGCACCCUGCAGCCAAAGUACAAAAAGUGUUGGGUGUCUUAUACUGAGCUUCCCAUGCAUGAUCUAGGCCUGUCCACAAAGAUGGCUCCAUUCAUGAAUACACAAGGUUUUGCAUCACAGCAGAAUGAAUCAGUGAGGAAACUCUCCUUCAAGGACCAAUUUUAGAAAUGUUCCCGAAUGUGCUGUAGGAUAUGAAAGGAGAACCAUGUGAAGGUGCCCUGGGGGUGAACGUGAUGGUCAAAAAGAUACAAUGGUUUGUACUGGAUUUCCGAAACAUGACUCCCAUCACUCAUGGCCUUCCGUUUCUCAUGGGCUCUUGUCCCCUAAGGAGCUGGUUACAGUCGAUGUCCUGUAUGAAGACAAGUGGUGGCACACUCCCAAGUAUUUCUGUUGCUGAAGGGUGUUGCCAGUAAUGGAAGAAAAGUCAUGCCCUUAGUCUUCGUCCUGUUGUCCUUCAGUGAGUGCAUAGCCUCACGCUUCUUUUGCCACCGGCUGUCCCUAUCGUGGUGAUUCUUAGAAUGGUGGGUUUGGAUUCCCCCUGGUUGUCUCCCUCUCUGCGACAGGUCCUGUGUCAGUCCUCUCAAGGGCGUUAGCAGGCAACUGGUAACAUGUGCACCAUGGUGGUAAGCACACCUGGCAAGAUAUAACCUAGUACCUAUGUACAAAGAAGGAUUCACAGUCCUAUGAAGGCAAAGGAAGUUUUACCCCAGACCCAGUUACCCUUUUUGACUGCUUAUUUCUGCUGGACCUGUCCAUUGAGGCCACUGAUCGCAUUUCCAUCAGCUCCCGUGAAGAAAACUGGCCAUUCCUGUGAACUCUGACCUGUUCCCCUGGCUCCAAGGCCUGUCUCAAAGACACUCUCCCCCGGAGUCUGACUGUCUUCUGUUCUGUACUGCUUCGGGAAUGCCCAUGUAUGUUCCCAUUUUGUGACAUUGUCCUCCAAGGAAAUGAAAUUCCCUUUAGUACAAUUCUUUGCAUAUAUUUCUUCCAUAAGUCUCAUCCCCAGUGUCACACCUGUUGGCACGGUAGUCAUGAUUGUCUUCUCCAUGAGAUGAAUGCAUGCAUCCUUCUUUGACACCUUGUUUUCUCAUGGCGGGGGAAGAAGUAUAAUCCAUAGUGCUGGCGGGGCUUGCCCUUAGAGCCAAAAUUUUUACUGUGUUACAAUUUUUUUUUUAUCUACAACAGAGACUUUAGUCCUGGGAGAGUUUUCUGUUUUUCCCAAGCUUACCAUUUCUACGUGCAAUCCGAAAACUACAGGGCUGUUGCCCCACAGAGCUAUAAGUUAGGUCCCGUGAAAUACGUUUCCUUUAUUAAUGUUGGUCUCCUCCACCAUUUUCGCAGAAAUUUGUGUACAGUGGACUGACCCAGCAUCUAAAAAGUCAGUACCAAUUUAUCACGGAUAGCUAAGUGAGGUGCUAGUUCGGAAAAUUGAAAAUCUAAGAGGCAUCCUCAAUCCCUGUGUUUCACAUUCAAUUAGUGAACAAUUCCAUUCAUUUAUACCUAUAAACAUUUUUUAAACAUGUAUGCUUUUCACAAGUUCAACUGCUGUCACCUGAUUGUUGCUGUGGUGUCUUGACUUGUCACUCUGCCUCCAAACUCAAAUCCUUAAGAUUCAUCAUCCACAAUCACACUACCCUGGUCCUUCAAAACACAAUGUCUGUUCAUGGUAGAAGUACCCAUUUGUGGCUCCUGUUGCCUUGAGCGAUCCCUCCACGAUCUGUACCUUGGACCAGCUCGUUAGCCUCAUGUUUAAGUUUAGUAGCAUUGUCUUUCAGAAAGCCAUGUUAGGGAUCACAGUACUUGAUGUGUUUAGCAGGACUUCCUAAAUUUUCCACUUGCAAUUUUAAAGGUGAAGUUAAGAAUGGCAUAUAUAUGAAGAGUUUCUUAAACUUUCAAGGUAGAAUGGAGCCCCCAUCUACCCCGUUUCUUUUGUUAUCAUCCAUAGAACCCAUAACCAUAUUGAGACCUGUUAGAUUCUGCAGGUAGACAAUACAAUUUCUUAUCUAUCAGUGUUUACCUUGCACUUUUUACUGCUCUUAGCACAUAUUAGAUGCUGAAACCUAUUGGUUGGUUGGUUGGAUAAAUGAAUAUUUGGAGAUUUGAAUGAAUAUCUAAAGAGUAUGUAUUUUCAUUUAAUUAGAGUGUACUUAAAAUAGUCUAUCCUGAAACCAUACUUUUGAUUAUUUUAAUGCCCAGGGCUCAUAAUUUUAAUUUUGAUGUUCAAUGGUCAGUUUUCAUCUAUUUUUCUAUACACAAUAGAGAAUA